UAAUAUUAAGGAAAUACAUAUUUUACUGUAAGAGAAAAAGAACACUAGUAAUAAGUAAAAGCAGUUAAAGAAAAACCCUACGAUGUUAAAUUUGAGGUGGAAAGAUCAGUUUGAACUCAUGAUUGUUUUAAAAAUGAGUUUCCAGUUUCUGUUCGCUGACAGAUCUAGAAGCAAAAACAUUCCUGUAGCAGUGAACACACAUCACACUGUGUGCUCUUCUUUUCUAGCCGUCGUUCCCCACUAAGGGAGCCAGGACUCCUUGAAGACAUGGUUAUUUCUGGGUCUGGGGCUAAAAACAUACAGCAUGAGUCCUCUGCAGAGUAUCCUGUGGUGCCAAGGGAUGCGGGAGCUUACCUGAAAGACCUCCAUGGCUCGCUGUGGGACCACAUGAACACCAAAAGGGAUAAUGAGAGUGUCCACUUCGAACACAUUUUUUUAAAGAUUUUAUUUAUUUAUUCAUGAGAAACACAGAAAGAGAGAGAGGCAGAGACACAGGCAAAGGGAGAAGCAGGCUCCAUGCAGGGAGCCCGAUGUGGGACUCGAUCCCCGGUCUCCAGGACCAGGCCCUGGGCUGAAGGUGGCGCUAAACCGCUGAGCCACCCAGGCUGCCUCACAUUUUUUUUAAAUCCAUGAAUCCACAGUGAUUUUUUUUUUUUUUUUUUUAGGGGAAAAAGAUGGGGUAAAUUCCAGCUCGUAAAUGUGGAAGGAAUCAAAGAAUGAACCACCACCGCUUGCAAUCAGGGCCCAACUGCUCUGGUCCUCCCUUGGGUCCCAGGACUGCACCACUGGGCUUGCUCUCCUCUGCCCUUGCUGUGGGAACCAGUCUGAAUUCUGCAACACAGGUAAGCAACAAACAAGUGCACCUUUCCUCAGGAAUUAGACUCUGGAGUCAGAGCCUCCCUGCUACUCUGCACUCGACAGCACGGGAGGCCGGGAGGCCAUGGACAUGGCCUGGAGCUGCUCAGUGUAGCCUCCUUGAUUGCAGAGUGGGGCUGGUGAUCAUGGUAGGGUUAUUGGGAGGAUUAGUCUUUCUCUUCCUCAAGAGAUGGCAACCUCCAGGUGGGCAAGAAACUUCCAUGUCUGUCACGGUCACCAUCCUAUCCUUAUAG
rnacentral:lncRNA from 12 species